rnacentral:siRNA from 1 species
GAAGUUGUACCUACGCGUCUCCUA